rnacentral:rRNA from 1 species
UACGUAGGGGGCUAGCGUUGUCCGGAAUCAUUGGGCGUAAAGAGCGUGUAGGCGGCUCGGUAAGUCCGCUGUAAAAGUCAAAGGCUCAACCUUUGAAUGUCAGUGGAUACUGCCGGGCUAGAGUCCGGAAGAGGCGAGUGGAACUCCUGGUGUAGCGGUGGAAUGCGCAGAUAUCAGGAAGAACACCAACGGCGAAGGCAGCUCGCUGGGACGGUACUGACGCUGAGACGCGAAAGCGUGGGGAGCAAACAGG